rnacentral:rRNA from 1 species
UACGGAGGGCGCGAGCGUUGUCCGGAAUCACUGGGCGUAAAGCGCACGUAGGCGGAUUGCUAAGUCAGGGGUGAAAUCCUGGAGCUCAACUCCAGAACUGCCUUUGAUACUGGUGAUCUUGAGUCCGGGAGAGGUGAGUGGAACUGCGAGUGUAGAGGUGAAAUUCGUAGAUAUUCGCAAGAACACCAGUGGCGAAGGCGGCUCACUGGCCCGGUACUGACGCUGAGGUGCGAAAGCGUGGGGAGCAAACAGG